rnacentral:lncRNA from 1 species
AAAAUUGAUUUACACUCUUAACCUUUUUUCGUUUUGGUAUAAUGUAAAAACUUAUAUAAGAGAUUUUUUACAAAAACAGAAAUUAAACAAAGAAAAACAUAAAAAUAAAAAUUAUGUAGUAAACAAUAGUACUACAGGAGAGGCCACAAAAGAAGAAAUUAACAAAAGGAGCUGGAACGUUCUGAGUUCUGACAGAAAAAGCCACGAGAAAACCGUCGAUGUUGCCACGAGUGAACCGCGAUUCGAACCCAGCCUUUAACAUAUAAUUAGGAUCGAGUUAGAGAAGGUUAAAGAUGACAAAAAGAGAGUUUGAAAUCAAUUUUUGGACUGAUUAAAAUAGAUAAACAUAAAAAUAAAACAAAGAAAAACAUAAAACUAAAAACUGCAGAAACAACAGUACUGCAGAAGGCCACAAAAGAUGAAAUUAACGACAGGAGCUAGCAUGUUCUGACGAAAGAAGACACGAGAAAACCGUCGAUGUUGCCACAAGUGAACUGCGACCUGAACCUACCUUUUAACAUAUCAUUAGCAUCGAGUUAGAGAAGGUAAAAGAUGACAAAAAGAGAGUUCGAAAUCAAUUUUUGGACUGUUAAAAUAGAUAAACGAAACAAAAAAUUUCACCCAAACUGACAUUAAUUGAAUGGAUCUUUCGAUCUUAAACUUGAAUUACACUCUUAAAUAUUUUGUUUUGGUAAAAUGUAAAAAUUUAUACUAGAUUUCAUAUUUUUUACAAAAAUGGAAAUAAAACAAAGAGAAAAAUAAAACUAAAAACUAUGCAGCAAACAACAGUACUGUAGAAGGCCACAAAAGAUAAAAUUAACGAAAGGAGCUCGAAAUUCCUGAUGGAAGAAGACACGAGAAAACCGUCGACGUUGCCACGAGUGAACUGCGAUCAGAACCCAGCCCUUAACAUAUCAUUAAGAUCGAGUUAGAGAAGGUGAAAGAUGACAAAAAGAGAGUUUGAAAUCAUUUUUUGGAAUGUUUAAAAUAGAUAAACAAAACAAAAAAAGUUCAACUAAACUGAUAUUAAUUGAAUGGAUCUCUCGAUCUUAAAAUUGAAUUACACUCUUCACUUUUUUUUUGUUUUGGUAAAACAUAAAGAAUUUAUACUAGAUUUUAGAUUUUUUACAGACACAAAAGUAAACGAAGAGAAACAUAAAACUAAAAAAAACUAGGCAGCAAACAACAGUACUCGAGAAGACCACAAAAGAUAAAAUUAACCAAAGGAGCUAGAACGUUCUGAGGGAAGAUGACACGAGAAAAUCGUCGAUGUUGCCACGAGUAAACUGCUAUCCUAUCGUAGCCUUUAACAUAUCAUUAGGAUUGAGUUACAGAAGGUAAAAGAUGACAAAAAAGAGUUUGAAAUCAAUGUUUGGACUGUUUAAAAAUCGAUAAACAAAAAAUAAAAGUUCACCCAAACUGAAAUUAAUUGAAUUGAUUUCUCGAUCUUAAAAUUGAAUUACACUCUUAACUUUUUUGUUUUGGUAAAAUAUAAAAAUUUAUACUAGAUUUAAGAUUUUAUACAAAAAACGGAAAUAAAAUAAAGAGAAACACAAAAGCAAAACCAUGCAGCAAACAAUAGUACUGUAGAAGGCCGUAAAGGAUGAAAUUAACGAAAUGAGCUAGAAAGCUCUGACGGAAGAAAACACUAGAAAACCGUUGAUGUUGCCACGAGUUAACCGCGAUCCGAACUUACCCUUUCAAAUAUCAUUAGAAUCGAGUUAGAGAAGGUAAAAGAUGACAAAAAGAGAGUUUGAAAUCAAUUAUUGGACUGUUUAAAUAGAGAAACAAAAUAAAACAUUUCACCCAAACUAAUAUUAAUUGAAUGAGUCUCUCGAUCUUAAAAUUGAAUUACACUGUUAACUUUUUUUUGUUUUGGUAAAAUGUAAAAAUUUAUAAUAGAUUUUUGACUUUUUACAAACGCGGAACUAAAAAAGAGAAACAUAAAUCUAAAAACUAUGCAGCCCUGCAAAAGGCCACAAAAUAUGAAAUGAACGAAAAUAGCUAGAACGUUAUGACAGAAGAAGAGAAGCAAAAACCGUUGAUGUUUUCACGAGUGAACCGCGAUCCGAAGUUAGCCUUUAAAAUAUCAUUAAGAUCGAGUUAGAGAAGGUAAUAGAUGACAAAAAGAGAGUUUGAAAUCUUUUAUUGGACUGUUUAAAAUAAAGAAACAGAGCAAAACAUUUCACGAAACUGAUAUUACCUGAAUGAAUAUCUCGAUCUUAAAAUUGAAUUACAAUCUUAACUUUUUUUUAUUUUGGUAAAAUGUAGAAAAAUUAUAUCAUAGAUGUUUUACAAAACCGGAAAUAAAACAUACAAAAACAUUAUAAAAAAAAACCAGGAAGCAAACAACAGUACUGCAAAAGGCCAGAAAAGAUAAAAUUAACGAAAAUUGCUCGAAAUUCCUGAUGGAAGAUGACACGAGAAAACCUUUGAUGUUGCCACGAGUGAACCGCGAUCAUAACCCAACCCUUAACAUAUCAUUAAGAUCGAGCUAGAGAAGAUAAAAGAUGACAAAAAAAAAAAGAGUUUGAAAUCAAUUUUUGGAAUGUUUAAAAUAGAUAAACAAAACAAAAAAAGUUCAGCUAAACUGAUAUUAAUCGAAUGGAUCUCUCGAUCUUAAAAUUGAAUUACACUCUUAACUUUUUUUUUGUUUUUGGUAAAAUAUAAAAAUUUAUACAAGAUUUUUGAUUUUUUACAAACACGAAAACAAAACGAAGAGAAAUAUAAAACUAAAAAAAAACUAAGCAGCAAAAACCAAUAUUCGAGAAGACCAUGAAAGAUAAAAUUAACCAAAGGAGCAAGAACGUUCUGGCGGAAGAAGACACGAGAAAACCGUCGAUGUUGCCACGAGUAAAUUGCUAUCCUAUCGUAGCUUUUAACAUAUCAUUAGGAUUGAGUUAGAGAAGGUAAAAGAUGACAAAAAGAGAGUUUGAAAUCAAUGUUUGGACUGUUUAAAAUCGAUAAACAAAAAAGAAAAGUUCACCCAAACUAACAUUAAUUGAAUUGAUCUCUCGAUCUUAAAAUUGAAUAACACUUUUAACUUUUUUGUUUUGGUAAAAUAUAAAUAUUUAUACUAGAUUUAAUAUUUUAUACAAAAACAGAAAUAAAAUAAAGAGAAACAUAAAACGAAAACCUAUGCAGCAAACAACAGUACUGUAGAAGGCUGUAAAAGAUGAAAUUAACGAAAGGAGCUAGAAAGCUUUGCCGGAAGAAAACACUAGAAAACCGUUGAUGUUGCCACGAGUGAACCGCGAUCCGAACCUACCCUUUCAAAUAUCAUUAGGAUCCAGUUAGAGAAGGUAAAAGAUGACAAAAGAGAGUUUGAAAUCAAUUUUUGGACUGUUUAAAUAGAGAAACAAAAUAAAACAUUUCACCCAAACUGAUAUUAAUUGAAUGAAUCUCUCGAUCUUAAAAUUGAUUACACUGUUAACUUUUUUAUUGUUUUGGUAAAAUGUAAAAAUUUAUAAUCGAUUUUUGACUUUUUACAAACACGGAAAAAAAAAAGAGAAACAUAAAUCUAAAAACUAUGCAGCCGUGCAGAAGGCCACAAAAUAUGAAAUUAACGAAAAUAGCUAGAACGUUAUGACAAAAGAAGAGAAAAGAAAACCGUUGAUGUUUUCACGAGUGAACCGCGAUCCAAACCUAGCCUUUAAAAUAUCAUUAAGAUCGAGUUAGAGAAGGUAAACGAUGACAAAAAGAGAGUUUGAAAUCUUUUUUUCGACUGUUUAAAAUAGAGAAACAAAACAAAAUAUUUCACCCAAACUGAAAUUAAUUGAAUGGAUAUCUCGAUCUUAAAAUUGAAUUACAAUCAUAUUCUUUUUUUUUUGGUAAAAUAUAAAAAAAUAUAUGAUAGAUUUUUUACAAAAACGGAAAUAAAACAAAGAAAAACAUAAAACUAAAAAAAAACUAGGCAGCAAACAACAGUACUGCAGAAGGCCACAAAAGAUGAAAUUAACGAAAGGAGCUAGAACGUUCUUACGGAAGAAGACACGAGAAAACCGUCGAUGUUGCCACGAGUAAACUGCUAUCCUGUCGUAGCCUUUAACAUAUCAUUAGGGUUGAGUUAGAGAAGGUAACAGAUGACAAAAAUAAAGUUUGACAUCAAUGUUUGGACUGUUAAAAAUAGAUAAACAAAAAGAAAAGUUCACCCAAACUAACAUUAAUUGAAUGGAUCUCUCAAUCUUAAAAUUGAAUUACACUCUUAACUUUUUUGUUUUAGUAAAAUGUAAAAAUUUAUACUAGAUUUAUGAUUUUAUAAAAAAACGGAAAUAAAACAAAGAGAAACGUAAGACCAAAAACUAUGCAGCAAACAACAGUACUGUAGAAGGCCAUAAAAGAUGAAAUUAACGAAAGGAGCUAGAAAGCUUUGACAGAAGAAAACACGAGAAAACCGUUGAUGUUACCACGAGUGAACCGCGAUCUGAAUCUAACCUUUAAAAUAUCAUUAGGAACGAGUUAGAUAAAGUAAAAGAUGACAAGAAGAGAGUUUGAAAUCAAUUUUUGGACUGUUUAAAUAGAGAAACAAGAUAAAACAUUUCACCCAAACUGAUAUUAAUUGAAUGAAUCUCUCGAUCUUAUAAUUGAAUUACACUCUUAACUUUUUUUUGUUUUGGUAAAAUAUAAAAAUUUAUAAUAGAUUUUUGACUUUUUACAAACACGAAAAUAAAAAAUAGAAAGAUAAAUCUAAAAACUAUGCAGCACUGCAGAAGACCACAAAAUAUGAAAUUAACGAAAAUAGCUAGAACGUUAUGACAGAAGAAGAGAAGAGAAAACCGUUUAUGUUGCCACGAGUGAACCGCGAUCCGAACCUAGCCUUUAAAAUAUCAUUAAGAUCGAGUUAGAGAAGGUAAAAGAUGACAAAAACAGAGUUUGAAAUCUUUUUUUGGACUGUUUAAAAUAGAGAAACAAAACAAAACAUUUCACCCAAACUGAUAUUACUUGAAUGGAUAUCUCGAUCUUAAAAUUGAAUUACAAUCUUAACUUUUCUUUUAUUUUGGUAAAUUUAAAAAAUUAUAUCAUAGAUUUUUUACAAAACCGGAAAUAAAACAAAGAAAAAUAUAAAAAAAAAAAAAAAACUAAACGGCAAACAACAGUACUGCAGAAGGCCACAAAAAAUGAAAUUAGCGAAAGGAGCUAGAACGUUAUGAUAGAAGAAGACGCGAGAAAACCGUCGAUAUUACCACGAGUGAACCCAGCCUUUAGCAUAUACAAUUGGUUCGAAAGAUGAAGAAAUGGUUGGGAACCCAGGCUUCUAUCAAUAUUGCUAAAGUCUUGUCUAUCCAGGAGUUAAUGAAUUCCACGCUGAGGCAUUAUUACGAUGAACACGGUGUAGUUGGUCCUUUUAUAGAUAAUGAAGUUGGAAUUUUAAAUGUUUAUGCUCUUGCCCAUCAUUUUAGAGAGAGUGGAACAGUAUACGAAGAAGAUUGUCCUAUCACUGAGGAGCAGGUUUUCCUGGAUGAGAGCACAACGACUGAGGUAAAAUGUUCUCUCUCCUUCAUUUUCUUCUCUCUUUGUUAAAUUAACCUUUAAUUAAUGUUGUUUUCCCUUGAUACAGGGAUGUGAGAGAAUUAUCCCAAGCAUUUGUGACGUUCAUUCUAUCUAUGAUUACGUAGCGGACUAUGGUGGUGAGGAUGGUGUAUCAAUGUUUCAUCAAGAGUUGGAGUAUCAGCUCAGGGAGGGAGGACCACUCAGUAUUCAAUUCGAAGUGUAUCCUUCUUAUUACACCACUCAGGUCAGGAAUUGUAUUUUAAUUCUGCUUCUUAGUUUACUUUCAUAUAUUUUCUAAAGCAUUUGAUUUCCCAUCUUUGUUUUUGUGGAUUAAUACUUGAUCUCAGAAUCCCACUAAUUUUUAACUUUUUGUUUUUUUUUUAGGGAAACCUCUAUAAUCCUUCUAAUUCUGAACUUGAGUUCAUUCCUCUUGGUGGACACUAUGUCAUCGCCACUGCAUUAGGCACACUUGAUGGAUUCCUCGCCUUGGAGUGUCAAGAUACACUACUAGAAAACAAAUAUUUUGUUAGAAUUUUCCAACAACUUAAAAGUUAUUGCUUCUAUCCAACAAUAUAUAAUAUUUGUUGGAAAAUUCCAAUAAUAUUCAUACAAAUUAUACAACGUAAUUACUACAACUAAAAUUUGUAAUGAAUUUCCAACGAUAUAAUAUUUCUUGGAGAUUUUCAACGACUUUCCUACAAAGUAUGCAAUGUAAUUGUCACAAUUAUAAUUUGUUGCAAAUUUGCACUGAAUUUCCAACAAUAUAGUAUUUGUUGGAAAAUUUCCACAAUUUUUCUAUAAAUUAUGUGAUGUACUUGCCACAACUUAAAUUUGUUGGAAAUUUACAAUAGAUUUAUAACAAAUAUAAUACUAAACGUAAUUUUAUGGGAUAUUCAUUGGAAAUUUCCAACAAAAUUCGAUUGUUAGAAACAUUUGUUGGAAUAUGCCAUGUUUUCUAGUAGUGAUAUCAUUAGGAUCGAGUUAGAGAAAGUAAAAGAUGACAAAAAGAGAGUUUGACAUCAAUGUUUGGACUGUUUAAAAUAGAUAAACAAAAAAGAAAAGUUCACCCAAAUUGACAUUAAUUGAAUGGAUCUCUCGAUCUUAAAAUUUAAUUACACUCUUAACUUUUUUGCUUUGGUAAAAUGUAAAAAAUCUUCAUAGAUUUUUGAUUUUGUACAAAAACGGAAAUAAAAUAAAGAGAAACAUAAAACCAAAAACUAUUCAACAAACAACAGUACCGUAGAAGGCCAUAAAAGAUGAAAUUAAGGAAAGGAGCUAAAAAGUUUGAUUGAAGAAGACACGAGAAAACCGUUGAUGUUACCACGAGUGAACCGCGAUCCAAACCUAGCCUUUAAAAUGUCAUUUGGAUCGAGUUAGAGAUGGUAAAAGAUGUCAAAAAGAGAGUUUGAAAUCUUUUUUUGGACUGUUUAAAAUAGAGAAACAAAACAAAACAUUUCACCCAAACUGAUAUUAAUUGAAUAGAUAUCUCGAUCUUAAAAUUGAAUUACACUCUUAGCUUUUUUUUUGUUAUGGUAAAAUGUAAAAAUUUAUACUAGAUUUUAGAUUUUUUACGAAAACAAAAUAAAACAAAGAGAAACAUAAAACUAAAAACUAAGCACCAAACAACAGUACUGUGGAAGACCAUAAAAGAUGAAAUUAACGAAAAGAGAUAAAACGUUAUGAUAGAAGAAGACACGAGAAAACCGUCAAUGUUGCCACUAGUGAACCGAGAUCCAAACCCAGCCUUUAACAUAUCAUUAGGAUCGAGUUAGAGAAGGGAAAAGAUGACAAAAAGAGAGUUUAACAUCAAUGUUUGGACUGUUAAAAAUAGAUAAACAAAAAAAGAAAAGUUCACCCAAACUGACAUUAGUUGAAUGGAUCUCUCGAUCUUAAAAUUAAAUUACACUCUUAACGUUUUUGUUUUGGUAAAAUGUAAAAAUUUAUACAAGAUUUUAGAUUUUAUAUAAAAAUGGAAAUAAAACAAAGAGAAACAUAAAACCAAAAAUUAUGCAUAAAUGUAAAAAUUUAUAGAAGAUUUUAGAUUUUAAACAAAAACGGAAAUAAAACAAAGAGAAACAUAAAACCAAAAAUUAUGCAUCAAACAACAGUACUUGUGGAAGACCAUAAAAGAAAGAAUUAACGAAAGGAGCUAGAAAGCUUUAAUGGAAGAAGACACAAGAAAACUGUUGAUGUUACUACGAGUGAACCGCGAUCCGAACCUAGCCUUUAAAAUAUCAUUAGGAUCUAGUUAGAGAAAGUAAAAGAUGACAAAAAGAGAGUUUGAAAUCAUUUUUUGGACUGUUUAAAAUAGAGGAACAAAACAAAACAUUUCACCCAAACUGAUAAUUGAAUGGAUAUAUUGAUCUUAAAAUUGAAUUACAAUCUUAAAUUUUUUUUUUUAUUUUGGUAAAAUAUAAAAAUUAUAUCAUAAAUUUUUUACAAAAAAGGAAAAAAACAAAUAAAACAUAAAACUAAAAAAAAAAAACUAGACAGCAAACAACAGUACUGUAGAAGGCCACAAAAAAUGAAAUUAACGAAAGGAGCUAGAACGUUAUGAUAGAAGAAGACACGAAAAAAACCGUCGAUGUUGCCACAAGUGAACCACGAUCCAAACCAAGCCUUUAACAUAUCAUUAGGAUCGAGUUAGAGAAGGGAAAAUAUGACAAAAGGAGAUUUUGACAUCAAUGUUUGGACUGUUUAAAAUAGAUAAACAAAAAAGAAAAGUUCACCCAAACUGACAUUAAUUGAAUGGAUCUCUCGAUCUUAAAAUUGAAUUACACUCUUAACUUUUUUGUUUUGGUAAAAUGUAAAAAUUUAUACUAGAUUUUAGAUUUUAUACAAAAACGGAAAUAAAACAAAGAGAAACAUAAAACCAAAAACUAUGCAGCAAACAACAGUACUGUGCAAGACCAUAAAAGAUGAACGAAAGGAGCUAGAAAGCUCUGAUGGAAGAAGACACGAGAAAGCUGUUGAUGUUACCACGAGUGAACCGCGAUCCGAACCUAGCCUUUAAAAUAUCAUUAAGAUCUAGUAAGAGAAGGUAAAAGAUGACAAAAAGAGAGUUUGAAAUCUUUUUUUGGACUGUUUAAAAUAGAGAAACAAAACAAAACAUUUCACCCAAACUGAUAAUUGAAUGGAUAUCUCGAUCUUAAAAUUGAAUUACAAUCUUAACGUUUUUUUUAUUUUGGUAAAAUGUAAAAAAUUAUAUCAUAGAUUUUUUACAAAAACGAAAUAAAACAAAGAAAAACAUAAAACUAAAAAAAAACUAGGCAACAAACAACAGUACUUCAGAAGGCCACAAAAGAUGAAAUUAAUGAAAGGAGUUAGAACGUUACGAUUGAAGACGACACGAGAAAACCGUCGAUAUUGCCACGAGUGAACCGCGAUCCAAACCCAGCCUUUAACAUAUCAUUAGGAUCGAGUUAGAGAAGGUAAAAGAUGAUAAAAAGAGAGUUUGACAUCAAUGUUUGUACUGUUUAAAAUAGAUAAACAAGAAAGAAAAGUUCACCCAAACUGACAUUUAUUGAAAUGAUCUCUCGAUCUUAAAAUUGAAUUACACUUUUAACUUUUUUGUUUUGGUAAAAUCUAAAAAUUUAUACUAGCUUUAAGAUUUUAUACAAAAAUGGAAAAAUGAAAAAAUAAAAAGAUAAAACCAAAAGCAAAUAAUAGUACUGUGGAAGACCAUAAAAGAUGAAAUUAAUGAAAGGAGCUAGAAAGCUCUAACAGAAGAAGACACGAGAAAACCGGUUAUGUUACCACAAGUGAACCGCGAUCUGAACCUAGCCUUUAAAUAUCAUUAGGAUCGAGUUAGAGAAGGUAAAAGAUGACAAAAAGAGAGUUUAAAAUAUUUUUUUGGACUUUUAAAAUAGAGAAACAAAACAAAAUAUUUCACCUAAACUGAUAUUGAAUGAAUGGAUAUCUCGAUCUUAAAAUUGAAUUACACUCUUAGAAUUUUUUUGGUUAUGGUAAAAUGUAAAAAUUUAUACUAGAUUUUAGAUUUUUUGCAAAAACGAAAUUAAACAAAGAUAAACAUAAAACUAAAAACUAAGCAGCAAACAACAAUAUUGGAGAAGGCCGCAAAAGAUGAAAUUAACCAAAGGAGCUAGAACGUUCUGACGGAAGAAGACACAAGAAAACCGUCGAUGUUGCCACAAGUGAACUGCGAUCCGAACCUAGCCUUUAACAUAUCAUUAGGAUCGAGUUAGAAAAGGUAAAAGAUUACAAAAAGAGAGUUUGAAAUCAAUGUUUGGACUGUUUAAAAUAGAUAAACAAAACAAAAGAGUUCACCCAAACUGACAUUAAUUGAAUAAAUCUCUCGAUCUCAAAAUGAAUUAGACUCUUAACUUUUAUUUUGUUUUGGUAAAAUGUAAAAAUUUAUACUAGAUUUUAGAUUCUUUACAAACACGGAAAGAAAACAAAGAAAAACAUAAAACUAAAAGCUAUGCAGCAAACGACUGUACUGGAGAAAACCACAAAAGAUUAAAUUAACCAAAGGAGCUAGAACGUUCUGAUGGAAGAAGACACGAGGAAACCGUCGAUGUUGCCACGAGUGAACUGCGAUCUGAAACCGUCGAUGUUGCCAUGAGUGAACCGUGAUUCGAGUCCAACCUUUAAAAUGUCAUUAUGAUCGAGUUAGAGAAGGUAAUAGAUGACAAAAAAGAGAGUUUGAAAUCAAUAUUUAGAUUGUUUAAAAUAGAUAAACAAAACAAAAAAAAAAGUUCACCCAAACUAAUAUUUAUUGAAUGGUAGCUCGAUCUUAAAAUUGAAUUACACUCUUAACUUUUUUUUGUUUUAGUAAAAUGUAAAAAUUUAUACUAGAUUUUAGAUUUCUUACAAACACGGAAAUAAAACAAAGAGAAACGUAAAACUAAAAGCUAUGCAGCAAACAACAGUAUUGGAGAAGGCCUUAAAAGAUGAAAUUAACCAAAGAAGGUAUAACGUUUGUAACGAAAGAAGACACGAGAAAACCGUCGAUGUUGCCACGAGUGAACCGUGAUUCGAGCCCAACCUUUAAAAUGUCAUUAUGAUCAUUUAGAGAAGGUAAUAGAUGAUUAAAAAAAAAAAGAGAGUUUGAAAUCAAUAUUUAGAUUGUUUAAAAUAGAUAAACAAAACAAAAAAAAAAAAGAAAUUCACCCAAACUAAUAUUUAUUGAAUGGAUAGCUCGAUCUUAAAAUUGAAUUACACUCUUC